UACGUAGGGUGCAAGCGUUAAUCGGAAUUACUGGGCGUAAAGCGUGCGCAGGCGGUUUUGUAAGACAGGCGUGAAAUCCCCGGGCUCAACCGCAAAACAGCAGUCGAUACUGGCGAUCUUGAGUGUGGAAGAGAGUGGCGGAAUUCAUGGUGUAGCAGUGAAAUGCGUAGAUAUCAUGAAGAACACCAGAGGCGAAGGCGGCUACCUGGACAAUUGCUGACGCUCAGGCACGAAAGCGUGGGGAGCAAAAGGGAUUAGAUACCCCGGUAGU
rnacentral:rRNA from 1 species